AUUGAACGCUGGCGGCAGGCCUAACACAUUCAAGUCGAACGAGUGGCGGACGGGUGAGUAAUGUCUGGGAAACUGCCUGAUGGAGGGGGAUAACUACUGGAAACGGUAGCUAAUACCGCAUACCAUCGGUUGUGUCCAGAUGGGAUUAGCUUGUUGGUGGGGUAACGGCUAACCAAGGCGACGAUCCCUAGCUGGACUGAGAGGUGGACCGGCCACACUGGGACUGAGACACGGUCCAGACUCCUACGGGAGGCAGCAGUGGGGAAUAUUGCGCAAUGGGCGCAAGUCUGAUGCAGCAAUGCCGCGUGUGUGAAGAAGGCCUUCGGGUUGUAAAGUACUUUCGGCGGGGAGGCGUUACCCGCAGAAGAAGCACCGGCUAACUCCGUGCCAGCAGCCGCGGUAAUAC
rnacentral:rRNA from 1 species